AAUCAACGCUGGCGGCGUGCCUCAGACAUGCAAGUCGAACGAUUAAAGCUCUCUUCGGAGAGUGUAUAGAGUGGCGCACGGGUGAGUAACACGUAAGAAAUCUACCUUUGAGUGGGGAAUAACGUCCGGAAACGGACGCUAAUACCGCAUAAUGCAGCGGCAUCGCAAGAUGACAGUUGUUAAAGAUUUAUCGCUUGAAGAGGAGCUUGCGGCAGAUUAGCUAGUUGGUAAGGUAAUGGCUUACCAAGGCUACGAUCUGUAACCGGUCUAAGAGGACGGGCGGUCACACUGACACUGAAUAACGGGUCAGACUCCUACGGGAGGCAGCAGUCGGGAAUUUUGGGCAAUGGGCGAAAGCCUGACCCAGCAACGCCGCGUGAAGGAUGAAGUAUUUCGGUAUGUAAACUUCGAAAGAAUGGGAAGAAUAAAUGACGGUACCAUUUAUAAGGUCCGGCUAACUACGUGCCAGCAGCCGCCGUAAUAC
rnacentral:rRNA from 1 species